rnacentral:rRNA from 1 species
AGAACGAACGCUGGUAGCGUGGAUUAGGCAUGCAAGUCGAACGGGAUCCGGGAGGUAGCAAUAUCGACCGGUGAGAGUGGCGGAUUGGGAGGAACACGUGAGCAACCUGGCCCUGGAGUGGGGGAAAACCGUUGGAAACGACGGCUAAUACCGCAUGUGGCGCCCGGAGACAUCUCCGGCGCGCCAAAGGGGGCCCGCAAGGGCUCCCGCUCCUCGAGGGGCUCGCGCACCAUCAGCUUGUUGGCGGGUAACGGCCCACCAAGGCCUACGGUUAGCUGGUCUGAGAGGAUGACCAGCCCCACUGGGACUGAGAUACUGCCCAGACUCCUACGGGAGGCUGCAGUCGAGGAUCAUUUGCAAUGGGCGGAAGCCUGACAAUGCGACGCUGCGUGGAGGAAUGAAGGCCUUCGGGUCGUAAACUCCUGUCAUGGGGGAACAGGCGAUGGCACCCAACACGUGCCAAAGUUGAGUGUACUCCAAGAGGAAGGGACGGCUAACUCUGUGCCAGCAGCCGC